rnacentral:lncRNA from 1 species
GCAACAAUCUAUAAUUCACUAAUCGCCUAAAUCUACCGAGCCUCCAUCUCCUUAGCGGUCUCUCUAGACUGAACAGCCUAGCCCAAUUUCGUCUAACUUCUUUCUACCACUACCUCACAUCCCUUACAAACACACUUCCUAUCCUUUGGUGGCUUCCAUCAAACUGACUAACUGUGUUCGUCACUCAAUUGCUUCACUUAAUCUGAAAUGCUCCACUAUGCAGAUACAGCAAGUGCGUUUCGUCUCGUUACUUAUCCAUUUCGAUUCACCUCAAGUGCCUAAAACAAAAACACAUAUCCAUCACCAUAAACACAAAUCUGGACGCAACUCGACCCAAUCAAGCGAAAGUCAAGAAGGACCUCACUCUUUUCUUCUUGGAUAUUAUGUUGUCUGCAGCCAACAUAAUUAACCGGUCGGAAAAGAGGUGUAUCCUUCAAUCACUCUUCAUUUCGUUUUGAAGAGUUUACC